CCUGCAGCCCCUCUCCACCACACUCAUCCCUUCAACCCCUCUCCCCCCCACCGCAGGACACAGACUCAGAGGAGGAAACGUGUGGUUUUUCACUGCUUUUGAAGAUGACAUACAAUGUCCUAUCCUCUAUGAAAGUGUGAUGGCCAUCCUGGUAGCUGACACCAAGGUUUGAACCAGGGACCUCCAGAACUGAAAACAUGAGUCCCUACAGCGUAAGUGAGUAGUAUACAGAUUUGAGAACUUAAUGGUGCAUCCAUUCCAUCCUCAGUUAUACUCUAGUGAAAUAUCUCUGGAUUUAGUAACUGAAGAUGAACUCUUGCCUAUUGUUUCUAAGAAGAAAAAGCAUUAGGAAUUUGGAACUUGGACUUGUUCAGUGUUCAUUGUUAAUAAAUACAAAGUAAUGCACUUUGGAAGGAAAAAAGUAAACUACUUGUACACAUUAGAGUUUUAAAUGAACAUAUCAGCUCAGGAAAGGAUCCUAGGCAUCACUGUCUACAGCUCAAUGAAGACUGCUUAAUAUGCAACUAUGCUUUAAAAAAAAAAAAAAA